rnacentral:rRNA from 1 species
GAUGAACGCUAGCGGCAGGCUUAAUACAUGCAAGUCAAGGGGGUAGCAAUACAACCGGCGCACGGGUGAGUAACGCGUACACAACAUACCAUAUACUGGAGUAUAGCUUUGGGAAACUGAAGGUAAUCCUCCAUAACAUUGCGAGAGGGCAUCUGAUUGCAAUUAAAGUUUCGGCGGUAUAUGAUUGGUGUGCGUUUGAUUAGCUAGUUGGUAGGGUAACGGCCUACCAAGGCGACGAUCAAUAGCUGGCGUGAGAGCGCGACCAGCCACACUGGAACUGAGACACGGUCCAGACUCCUACGGGAGGCAGCAGUAGGGAAUAUUGGACAAUGGAGGAAACUCUGAUCCAGCCAUGCCGCGUGAUAGAUGAAGGCCCUCUGGGUUGUAAAUAUCUUUUAUCUGGGAAGAAACACUCCUAUUCUUAGGAACUUGACGGUACCAGAGGAAUAAGCACCGGCUAACUCCGUGCCAGCAGCCGCGGUAAAGUAGUCG